CGGCGGACGGGUGAGUAACACGUGGAUAACCUACCUAUAAGACUGGGAUAACUUCGGGAAACCGAAGCUAAUACCGGAUAAUAUAUUGAACCGCAUGGUUCAAUAGUGAAAGACGGUUUUGCUGUCACUUAUAGAUGGAUCCGCGCCGCAUUAGCUAGUUGGUAAGGUAACGGCUUACCAAGGCAACGAUGCGUAGCCGACCUGAGAGGGUGAUCGGCCACACUGGAACUGAGACACGGUCCAG
rnacentral:rRNA from 1 species